GAAUGAGUCACGGGGAUUAUCAGUUCCACGAGCCACGGGGAUUACAAGUGGCAGGGCGGGUGCCAAGACCUUGGGGGAACCAUCUGUAGAUUGUGAAGUUAUGUGGAUAUUGUGCUGUAGAGUAUGGGUUUUAUCUUGAGGACUGUGGAGAAUCCCUGGAGGGUUUUGAGCAGUGAUGUUGGAUCUUACUUUUCUUUUGUUUUCUUUUCUUUUUUUUUUUUUUUUUNNNNNNNNNNN
rnacentral:lncRNA from 1 species